CGCUCCGGUGGCUAGUGGUUAGAGCGUUCGCCUCGGAUGCGGGAGGUUGUGGGUUUGAUCCCGGGCCGAGUGA